rnacentral:rRNA from 1 species
UGAGUAACCUGCCCUUGACUCUGGGAUAAGCCUGGGAAACUGGGUCUAAUACCGGAUAUACCUCAUUGAUCUCCUGGUUGGUGGGGGAAAGCUUUUGCGGUGUGGGAUGGGCCCGCGGCCUAUCAGCUUGUUGGUGAGGGCAAUGGCUCACCAAGGCGACGACGGGUAGCCGGCCUGAGAGGGUGACCGGCCACACUGGGACUGAGACACGGCCCAGACUCCUACGGGAGGCAG